UUGAGAAUCCUGCCUGCUUAAUGAGGAUUUUUAAUUUAAUGACUGUAUUUAAAACAACUUCUAGAGACCAGCUAUGUGAGAGAUACGCACAUCAUUAGGAAGCAGUGGCACCUGUUGAUGCAAUCUGCUGGGCGUCUCGGUACUGAACAGCUGCAGUUGAUAUUCAGCAACUUUCUGUUGUUCAUUGAAGUCCUGGAGGGCCUACAGAACAUGUUCCAAGCCCUGGCUCAUGUCGGGCUUCGAAAAGGCUGCGGCUCUAGCUAGACUAUUAGUUUCAGUGGCCCUGCCAUGGAUCUACCACUUGAUUGCACACCUUAGUUUUGCCUCCUUCUCGUUAUAGAUCCCAUGAAGCUUCCCUGAAAAUAGUUACUUCUGUAAACAGUAUCUUUGGCAAGAGUAAAUAUGGAGAAACAAAAGCAUAAUGACAAAGCUGCUUCCCUGGAAAAACCAGGCUUGUACCCGAUGCUACUACUCCACCUACUGCUCCAGAGGCAGGCUGCUCCUCUGUGACAACCAAAAUUUUACCAGAGCCUACUGCUUCCAUCUACUGCUCUGGAGGCACGCUGUUCCUCUGUGACAACCACAAUUUCAACAGAUACUAAGCUCCAUCUACUGCUCCAGAGGAACCCUGCUCCUCUGUAACAACCAUGAUUUCACCAGAUGAUACUGCUCCAUCUACUGCUCCAGGGGCACGCUGCUCCUCUUUGACAAUCACAAUCUGACCAGAUGCUAAGCUCCAUCUACUGCUCCAGAGGAACGCUGCUCCUCUGUGACAGCCAUGAUUUCACCAGAUGAUACUGCUCCAUCUUCUGCUCCAGGGGAACACUGCUCCUCUGUGACAGCCACAGUUUCAUCAGCUGCUACUGGUCAACAUGGCUGCAUAAAACUAAGUGGUAAGGCCAGGGAAGGUAGGUAAAUCUAAGUUGGCAAAAGUGUGAGGUUAAGACCAGUCAAAAAGCCAAGUUGCUGAAAACUCUGAGUGGCUGAGUAAGUAAAGGCGUUCCUGAAUAGAGCCAGGUGGCUAACUCCACCUGGGUAAUGCCAAGAUGUUAAUACUAGUCAAGUGGUUAAGGCCAUGUGAGUUAAAAUAAAAGGUUGAGGACUGGUGGGAAGGUCA
rnacentral:lncRNA from 13 species